rnacentral:lncRNA from 13 species
CUUCCGGCGGCGGCGGGCAGCGCGUGUGGGAGCGAGCGGGCGGCGACUGUUUACUUCCGGCCGCCGGGGCUGAGGCCGAGCGCGUCGGGCGGCGGGCGCGGCGGCCCCGCGCAGCCAUGGACUGGCUCAUGGGGGGCCUGUGUGCUGGACCCGGACCCUCAUGUCUUCCUUUCUUUGUCCGAAACAAAAAUGGGCUCUUCCUCUUUUCUGGGUCGUGCCUGAUGGCACCACCUGCAGGCCCUGCAUUUGGACACAGCCCUCCUGUGGACAGAACUGGACUCCAGUUUCUCUCUCCUUUCUGUGAGUGGUGGUCCACUCCACGCCACUGCGGUGCUUGGGGCAGAGCAGCAGGGCCCACGCUGACCCCUCUCUCCGGUGCUUGUGUCUGAGAAGGGGCACCCAUCUCACCUCUGGCCUGAUAGGUUUCGCCCCUGUCUAAUUGUCCCCUUCCCCUACAGGGCGGGCGGGCAGGUGGGUGAGGGGCGGGUGCCGGUCUUUCCCUUCCCCCCCGCCACUCCAUCAGCGGCGUGUGGUUUCAGGUGCCUUGGGCUGCUCUGGUUAUUGGGAGGCAGAGUGUCCUAAUGUCCUAGUGACCAACCGUCUCCUGUGAUUGGCUCCCCGGGGCCUCAGGAUGCCUUGCUUCUGAUUCAUGUGGUCACCGCUGAGCAGUGGGUAUUUUGGGUACUAAGGUGAUGCGGGGGGGGAGUGUCACAGUCACACCCAGAGAGACCUAGAAAGCAGCCAGUACUUGGUACCUUCUGUUUGCACAACUGGAAGAUUCAGCUUCUCUGUGGUCACUUGGAGCAGAGCUUGCCACAGAAGUCUUUUUUCUGGUCACCUUGGUUCUGUUGAAAAUGAUCGCUCAAAUGGUACAUUCAGAAGUACUUGGGUCACUGCCCCCUGUUGGUGUGGACCCUCCUUUUGGACAGCCAGGAGGUGACUUUUCUGACCUUACUAUGCCCAGGAGCAUCCAGGAGUGUCCAGGGGCUGGUGUCGUAUUCCCUGGGGAGUGCUGCAGCCUUCUGCCCACUCAGGACACUCUGGAGGUCAGCAUUGCCAUUUUAUAAGUGGGAAAUGCAGAGAGGUGACAUCAUGGGCCAGGGCCCUGCAGCUGGGAAUUGAGCCCAGGCCGUCUGGUUGAUAAGUGGCAGCCCUCUCUGCUUCGAAGCCCCUCGUGCUUCCGUGAAGGCACUGCCUCUGAGGAGGGUCCAGGUCGAUCCCCACACUCUGCUCCCAGGAGCACUCCUGAGGCCUCUAGUCCCUGAAGGGCCAAGGAGUGCACUUGUGGAGAAUGGGGGCCUAGACCAGGGUGCCAGGGACCCUCCCAGGGCUGAUAGAGAGAGGGGCAUUCUCUAGGACUUGGGGACACGACCGGCCACUGCCAUGGGA